rnacentral:tRNA from 1 species
GCCGGACUGGCGGAAUGGCAGACGCAGUGGAUUCAAAAUCCACCGCCCGCAAGGGCAUCCCGGUUCGACUCCGGGGUCCGGUA